GAGUGGCGAACUUGGUGAGUAACACGUGGGAAACCUGCCCAGAAGCGGGGGAUAACACCUGGAAACAGAUGCUAAUACCGCAUAACAACUUGGACCGCAUGGUCCGAGUUUGAAAGAUGGCUUCGGCUAUCACUUUUGGAUGGUCCCGCGGCGUAUUAGCUAGAUGGUGGGGUAACGGCUCACCAUGGCAAUGAUACGUAGCCGACCUGAGAGGGUAAUCGGCCACAUUGGGACUGAGACACGGCCCAAACUCCUACGGGAGGCAGCAGUAGGGAAUCUUCCACAAUGGACGAAAGUCUGAUGGAGCAACGCCGCGUGAGUGAAGAAGGGUUUCGGCUCGUAAAACUCUGUUGUUAAAGAAGAACAUAUCUGAGAGUAACUGUUCAGGUAUUGACGGUAUUUAACCAGAAAGCCACGGCUAACUACGUGCCAGCAGCCGCGGUAAUACGUAGGUGGCAAGCGUUGUCCGGAUUUAUUGGGCGUAAAGCGAGCGCAGGCGGUUUUUUAAGUCUGAUGUGAAAGCCUUCGGCUCAACCGAAGAAGUGCAUCGGAAACUGGGAAACUUGAGUGCAGAAGAGGACAGUGGAACUCCAUGUGUAGCGGUGAAAUGCGUAGAUAUAUGGAAGAACACCAGUGGCGAAAGGCGGCUGUCUGGUCUGUAACUGACGCUGAGGCUCGAAAGUAUGGGUAGCAACAGGAUUAGAUACCCUGGUAGUCCAUACCGUAACGAUGAUGCUAGUGUUGGAGGGUUUCCGCCCUCAGUGCUGCAGCUACGCAU
rnacentral:rRNA from 2 species